GUAUAAAAGGCCCGGCGGCGGCCAGGCUGCCUCAGAGCGGCGGCGGGGCCGGGGUUUGUGUGUGCCCGGGCCGGGGGCGGCGGCCGGGCGGGCUGUGUGAGGGGUCGCAGCGCCGCUGAGCUGCCCCAUCUUCCCCAUGUGUUUGGGACCCUGGUUGCAGCCUCUCCAGCUCCAUAGUCAUAGAAUCGGGUCAUACGGAGGUUGGAAGCGUGUCCAGGGGAGCGAGGAGCUGUGAAUCCUGCGUUGCGGCUGCCUGAGCUGGAAGGCUUUCAUGGGCGAGUACAGUGCUUGGAUCGCCAGAGCUGUCGCUUCAACAUCCUUCAGCAGCACUAAAGCAGCUUUGAAGAAAACCACUAGCCAAGAACUCGCUGGGAAAGGCCAAGUCAGGAGAAAAGGAAAGGCUGAUUGCAGGAGAGUGUGAUAUAUAUAUAUAUAUACAGGGAGAAGUAAGUCAGAAAAAGAGCGCAGCUGAACAACCCCGUUCCUCGACACGCAUCGUCCUAACGCCUCCUCUUGAGACGACACCACGGGAAAGGGCCUCCUCAGCCCUAUCUGUAGGAAUUUGCCGUGUGUUUAGGCAGGAAGAUGAAGUUGGUAGCUACGGCUCCCCGCAGCAGCUCACUAGAAGAAAGAAAAGAACAAAAACAAAGCAAAGAAAAAACCAAGGAGAGGUUUGCAUUCAGUACAAUAGAGCCACCGGUACCCUGUUGUAUGGCCCUGUGGCUCUACAGCGAAGGUGAUGGCAGUCAGAUGUGUCAAACCAAGCCUCUACCCUCCUGAAAAUUUAGGGCUGCUGCACAAAACCGCCUCCGGUGCUGAGCUUUGACCUGCUCCUGUCAUGAAAUAAUGACAGCCUGCGGAGGCAUACUUUAGCCCAGACCUGAAGACGUCCGUUUUAAGGUUAAAAAGUCCUCCCAGCUAAACUUUAUCCAACAGCAGCAAUGAAAAAAUCAACUUGUCUGGUAUUAAUUUGGGUUCCUCUCAUUAAGGAAGCCACGCAGGAUCACAGCCCGGAGGGUCCAUCUUUGCUUUAUCCCAACUUCCCAUAUCCACUGCAAGGUUUAAUUGGUUUCAUGGCACCGGAUCCCAACAAGGAUUUAAAAUGAUCCGGUUGCUAACAGACCUGGUUGCUUUAACCCUGAACCCCAGCACCGGAGGGACGCAGCCUCCCGAUAAGGACAAUGCCCCUAUUGCUGGGCAGUCACCCAGAAUCGGUGCCAAAACGGGUUCUGAAGUUUGGUGACCUGAAGACCAGCCUCACCCCUGGCAAUGCCAUGCCGAGAGUCAGCAGGAGCCACUGAAAAGCUCCUCCCCACCUCUCGCCGUGCCUGUGCAGAGCCAAAACCCUGCCAGUGCCAGAAGGCAUUAAGGGCAGAUGUGGUGGUGUGCUCUUCCCUUUUUCCCCCCCGGCUCCAGCUCAAGCCAUGGCCAUCAGCGGGAGUUGUGAUGAGUCGCACUUGAACUGUGGGAGAUGGCUGGCAACAUAACCAAAACCCUGUCUGGAGUGGGAACCUGGGUAUCUUGUUCCCAUGAGAAUAUGACUGUAGGUCAAUUCUCUUACUCCAUAAACAGUGGACAGCCCAAGAGCCCUUUGAGCUCUCCUGCACGGCAGCACGACAGGGUCUCCUCUUGAGUGGGGACGCUCGCUUAAGGUUCUUCUCCUCGAGGCUGAGAGAUUCCUUGCCGCAACAGAUUCUCGGUAAGUGACUAAUAGCAUGCUAAACUGAAAUCUUAGCUAAGGGAUCUAAGGAUUGAUUGCGCAUCUAUAAUCCUUUAGACAUAAACCGUUGACCAAGUCUGGGACUAGGAUUGGAUCCAGCCGCCCCUAGGCUCCUCUCUGAGAAGGAGUUUAGAAAGCCAGGGGGUCCUUUCUGAACCUCGUGACUCAACGGGAGGGUCUCCCUGAGAGCUUGUCUGACCCCGGCCUCUGUGCAGUAAAUAAUCAGGUGUGCCCUGGCAUCGAAUCUCGUAAAACACUGUCGCAUUCACUACUGACUUUGUUAAAUCACUGUUUUAU